CUUCUCCUAGCUUCAAAACCAUGAGCAAAUAAAUUCCCAUUGUUCAAGUCAACUCAUUGUAUGGUAUGAUGGGAAAGUAAGACAACAUCCUCAAUGAUGUAGGUGACUUGUAGAAGGAGCUUAUGCAGUUCAUCACGAAACUGAACACAUGCCUCCCCCUGGAUUCAAGGACCCUGAAGGAGGAGAUACAACAGGAGCUGGAGUAGCUGAUACCCUAGCUGCUGCCCCUCAGCCAGGUGAGCCAGCAGAUCAGGAACAACAUGCUUGAGCUGUAGUGGCACCUACAGCACCCUACAGCACCCUUCAGCGUGAAAUGGCUACUGCUUCCUUUCUGCCUUCCAAAUCUCAUGCAGUUUCUCUUGUGGCCAACCUAACCUGGAACCAAAAAGAGAAAGGAAUUCUGGGAAACACAGUUAAAUUGACAAAGUGCAAAACUAUCACCCCAACCUAUUAAUAUAUUUCAUAACUACUUAAAUUUUGUAAUGAAGUGGAAAACUUUUAUCUGGAGAUACAAUUCUUUUCAUCUCACUUGUUUUUAUUUUAAAUCCAAGUUAAAUGAUAUGUAAUAAGUCUUAAGACACUAGCUUAUAAUGGGCAAUCUCAUUAUAAUAAACUUUAAAAAGAUCUA